rnacentral:lncRNA from 1 species
GUUUGAACGAGCACAUGAUCUUUUGGUUUUGUGUGUGUGGACACUGAACACCUACUGUUUAUGAUACAUCGUAUCCACUAAUGAGCCCGUCCAUUGCAUGUUGAGUACAACAGAGUCUAGCACAUGAUUACGGCAGCCCUUUAUCGUGCAUGAGGAAAACACCAGCCAACGGAUUCUAAGUGCUCAUUUUCAAUUACCUCCUAUUAGGGAUUCCAGCAUCUCCUGCCCCUCGCAGAGAACCCACUCCUGCUGCCCACCCACUAACCUACUCACACUCAAUCCGGCACCCCAAUGGGCCAAGAGCCCGCAGAAGAUGGCAACCGGCGAAACAAUGCAUGAUCGUGUCUUCGUGGCUCUGACUGUUGGAGGUUCUCCAGCACUCUCCAAACAGGUCUGAUCCUUAACAAAGGUGAGGGGCUGGAGCUCGUUGUGUUCCAGCACAGCAGAGGUGAACGGAGAGAGGUUUGUGUUCCUGGCACACGAUUCCUUCAGCACGCUGUCACGUCUCUUCAACUCUCCCCCUCUCUGAUGUUACCUGACAGAUGGAGCAUAAUGUGGACGUUAAGCUGCGGAGAGACUCGUCUCCGUCUGUGCGUCCUCUCUGCUUCUGAGGGAAGAAUCCUGAGAGCUGCGGCGGGAAUCUGACGAAGUUUGGAAACAAUCAUUUGUGAUCGUACAGAAGAAGCUUUACUAAUCAUAUCAAUCCCUUACGCGCCAUGACGCUGCAUUUCAUCAAAAUGCAGCGUAUGAAUACUUUGAAUUUAUUUGUAAAUGUAAUUUUAAGUAGUGUCAAUGAUGUCAACCUCAAGCAGCGACACUAUUAAAAUGCUGCUCACGUGUGUGCAUGAGUAAUAAUACAUAUUUUAAUAUAUAAAAAUAUAAUAAUGACCGUUAACCUCCAUAAUGAGCACUUUUAUGUUGAGGCCUACUUUUACUGAAGACUCCCACCACUGCAUAUAUUCAUCUUAUUCCAGCUCUAUGUUGAAUCUAUGUGAUGUUUACACUCAUAUUCAAACUCAUGACUUUACAAGAUGCACG